AGUGAACGCUGGCGGUAGGCCUAACACAUGCAAGUCGAACGGCAGCACAGGAGAGCUUGCUCUCUGGGUGGCGAGUGGCGGACGGGUGAGGAAUACAUCGGAAUCUACCUUUUCGUGGGGGAUAACGUAGGGAAACUUACGCUAAUACCGCAUACGACCUACGGGUGAAAGUGGGGGACCGCAAGGCCUCACGCGAUUAGAUGAGCCGAUGUCCGAUUAGCUAGUUGGCGGGGUAAUGGCCCACCAAGGCGACGAUCGGUAGCUGGUCUGAGAGGAUGAUCAGCCACACUGGAACUGAGACACGGUCCAGACUCCUACGGGAGGCAGCAGUGGGGAAUAUUGGACAAUGGGCGCAAGCCUGAUCCAGCCAUACCGCGUGGGUGAAGAAGGCCUUCGGGUUGUAAAGCCCUUUUGUUGGGAAAGAAAUCCUGUCGAUUAAUACUCGGUGG
rnacentral:rRNA from 1 species